AACUUUUAACAAUGGAUCUCUUGGCUCUCACAUCGAUGAAGAACACAGUGAAAUGUGAUAAGUAAUGUGAAUUGCAGAAUUCAGUGAAUCAUUGAAUCAUUGAACGCACCUUGCACCUUUUGGUAUUCCAAGAGGUACACCUGUUUGAGUGUCAU
rnacentral:rRNA from 1 species